rnacentral:rRNA from 1 species
CCUACGGGAGGUAGCAGUGAGGAAUAUUGGUCAAUGGGCUUACGCCUGAACCAGCCAAGUCGCGUGAGGGAAGACUGCCCUAUGGGUUGUAAACCUCUUUUGUCAGGGAGCAACGCCGGCUACGUGUAGCCGGACUGAGAGUACCUGAAGAAAAAGCAUCGGCUAACUCCGUGCCAGCAGCCGCGGUAAUACGGAGGAUGCGAGCGUUCUCCGGAUUUAUUGGGUUUAAAGGGAGCGUAGGUGGAUUGUUAAGUCAGUUGUGAAAGUUUGCGGCUCAACCGUAAAAUUGCAGUUGAAACUGGCAGUCUGGAGUACAGUAGAGGUGGGCGGAAUUCGUGGUGUAGCGGUGAAAUGCUUAGAUAUCACGAAGAACUCCGAUUGCGAAGGCAGCUCACUGGACUGCAACUGACACUGAUGCUCGAAAGUGUGGGUAUCAAACAGGAUUAGAUACCCGGGUAGUC